UCGAAGGUAGGCAUAAUCAGUAGUUUUUUAAUUGAAGGCUUGUAUGAAUGGUUGGACGAAAUAUUAACUGUUUCAUUAUAAUUUAUAAUAAAAUUUUAUUUUUUAGUUAAAAAGCUAAAAUUUUUUUAAAAGACGAGAAGACCCUAUAAAUCUUUAUAUUUAUUUAAUUAUAAUUUUAUAGAUUUAUUUAAUUAUAAUUAUUUUUGAGUAUUUUAUUGGGGUGAUAUUAAAAUUUAAUAAACUUUUAAUUAUUAAAAUCAUUUAUUUAUGAAUAAUUGAUCCAUUAUUAGUGAUUAAAAAAUUAAGUUACUUUAGGGAUAACAGCGUAAU
rnacentral:rRNA from 1 species